rnacentral:tRNA from 2 species
UCCGGUGUGGCCAAAUGGUAAGGCAUCCGCCUGUUAAGCGGGGGAUUGCAGGUUCGACUCCUGCCGCCGGAG